rnacentral:rRNA from 1 species
UACGAAGGGGGCUAGCGUUGCUCGGAAUGACUGGGCGUAAAGGGCGCGUAGGCGGCUUGCACCGUCAGAUGUGAAAUUCCUGGGCUUAACCUGGGGGCUGCAUUUGAUACGUGUGGGCUUGAGUGCGGAAGAGGGUCGUGGAAUUCCCAGUGUAGAGGUGAAAUUCGUAGAUAUUGGGAAGAACACCGGUGGCGAAGGCGGUCUUCUGGACGGUGACUGACGCUGAGGCGCGAAAGCGUGGGGAGCAAACGGG